rnacentral:rRNA from 1 species
UACGUAGGGUGCGAGCGUUGUCCGGAAUCACUGGGCGUAAAGGGAGCGUAGGCGGCGCGGUAAGUCAGAUGUGAAAUCCCGGGGCUCAACCCCGGAACUGCAUCCGAUACUGCCGUGCUAGAGGAUUGGAGAGGUAGCUGGAAUUCUUGGUGUAGCAGUGAAAUGCGUGGAGAUCAAGAGGAACACUCGUGGCGAAAGCGAGUCCCUGGACAAUACCUGACACUGGAGGCACGAAAGCCAAGGGAGCAAACAGG